GACCGGUCAUGUCCGCCAGUGGUGCAAUGGGUCUGGCUAUUAACCAGAAGGUUGGUGGUUCGAGCUCACCCAGGGUUG